GGUUAAGCGACUAAGCGUACACGGUGGAUGCCCUGGCAGUCAGAGGCGAUGAAGGACGUGCUAAUCUGCGAUAAGCGUCGGUGAGGUGAUAUGAACCGUUAUAACCGGCGAUUUCCGAAUGGGGAAACCCAGUGUGAUUCGUCACACUAUCAUUAACUGAAUCCAUAGGUUAAUGAGGCGAACCGGGGGAACUGAAACAUCUAAGUACCCCGAGGAAAAGAAAUCAACCGAGAUUCCCCCAGUAGCGGCGAGCGAACGGGGAGCAGCCCAGAGCCUGAAUCAGUGUGUGUGUUAGUGGAAGCGUCUGGAAAGGCGCGCGAUACAGGGUGACAGCCCCGUACACAAAAAUGCACAUACUGUGAGCUCGAUGAGUAGGGCGGGACACGUGGUAUCCUGUCUGAAUAUGGGGGGACCAUCCUCCAAGGCUAAAUACUCCUGACUGACCGAUAGUGAACCAGUACCGUGAGGGAAAGGCGAAAAGAACCCCGGCGAGGGGAGUGAAAAAGAACCUGAAACCGUGUACGUACAAGCAGUGGGAGCCUCUUAAUGGGGUGACUGCGUACCUUUUGUAUAAUGGGUCAGCGACUUAUAUUCUGUAGCAAGGUUAACCGAAUAGGGGAGCCGAAGGGAAACCGAGUCUUAACUGGGCGUUAAGUUGCAGGGUAUAGACCCGAAACCCGGUGAUCUAGCCAUGGGCAGGUUGAAGGUUGGGUAACACUAACUGGAGGACCGAACCGACUAAUGUUGAAAAAUUAGCGGAUGACUUGUGGCUGGGGGUGAAAGGCCAAUCAAACCGGGAGAUAGCUGGUUCUCCCCGAAAGCUAUUUAGGUAGCGCCUCGUGAAUUCAUCUCCGGGGGUAGAGCACUGUUUCGGCAAGGGGGUCAUCCCGACUUACCAACCCGAUGCAAACUGCGAAUACCGGAGAAUGUUAUCACGGGAGACACACGGCGGGUGCUAACGUCCGUCGUGAAGAGGGAAACAACCCAGACCGCCAGCUAAGGUCCCAAAGUCAUGGUUAAGUGGGAAACGAUGUGGGAAGGCCCAGACAGCCAGGAUGUUGGCUUAGAAGCAGCCAUCAUUUAAAGAAAGCGUAAUAGCUCACUGGUCGAGUCGGCCUGCGCGGAAGAUGUAACGGGGCUAAACCAUGCACCGAAGCUGCGGCAGCGACACUAUGUGUUGUUGGGUAGGGGAGCGUUCUGUAAGCCUGUGAAGGUGUACUGUGAGGUAUGCUGGAGGUAUCAGAAGUGCGAAUGCUGACAUAAGUAACGAUAAAGCGGGUGAAAAGCCCGCUCGCCGGAAGACCAAGGGUUCCUGUCCAACGUUAAUCGGGGCAGGGUGAGUCGACCCCUAAGGCGAGGCCGAAAGGCGUAGUCGAUGGGAAACAGGUUAAUAUUCCUGUACUUGGUGUUACUGCGAAGGGGGGACGGAGAAGGCUAUGUUGGCCGGGCGACGGUUGUCCCGGUUUAAGCGUGUAGGCUGGUUUUCCAGGCAAAUCCGGAAAAUCAAGGCUGAGGCGUGAUGACGAGGCACUACGGUGCUGAAGCAACAAAUGCCCUGCUUCCAGGAAAAGCCUCUAAGCAUCAGGUAACAUCAAAUCGUACCCCAAACCGACACAGGUGGUCAGGUAGAGAAUACCAAGGCGCUUGAGAGAACUCGGGUGAAGGAACUAGGCAAAAUGGUGCCGUAACUUCGGGAGAAGGCACGCUGAUAUGUAGGUGAAGCGACUUGCUCGUGGAGCUGAAAUCAGUCGAAGAUACCAGCUGGCUGCAACUGUUUAUUAAAAACACAGCACUGUGCAAACACGAAAGUGGACGUAUACGGUGUGACGCCUGCCCGGUGCCGGAAGGUUAAUUGAUGGGGUUAGCGGUAACGCGAAGCUCUUGAUCGAAGCCCCGGUAAACGGCGGCCGUAACUAUAACGGUCCUAAGGUAGCGAAAUUCCUUGUCGGGUAAGUUCCGACCUGCACGAAUGGCGUAAUGAUGGCCAGGCUGUCUCCACCCGAGACUCAGUGAAAUUGAACUCGCUGUGAAGAUGCAGUGUACCCGCGGCAAGACGGAAAGACCCCGUGAACCUUUACUAUAGCUUGACACUGAACAUUGAGCCUUGAUGUGUAGGAUAGGUGGGAGGCUUUGAAGUGUGGACGCCAGUCUGCAUGGAGCCGGCCUUGAAAUACCACCCUUUAAUGUUUGAUGUUCUAACGUUGGCCCCUGAUCGGGGUUGCGGACAGUGUCUGGUGGGUAGUUUGACUGGGGCGGUCUCCUCCUAAAGAGUAACGGAGGAGCACGAAGGUUGGCUAAUCCUGGUCGGACAUCAGGAGGUUAGUGCAAUGGCAUAAGCCAGCUUGACUGCGAGCGUGACGGCGCGAGCAGGUGCGAAAGCAGGUCAUAGUGAUCCGGUGGUUCUGAAUGGAAGGGCCAUCGCUCAACGGAUAAAAGGUACUCCGGGGAUAACAGGCUGAUACCGCCCAAGAGUUCAUAUCGACGGCGGUGUUUGGCACCUCGAUGUCGGCUCAUCACAUCCUGGGGCUGAAGUAGGUCCCAAGGGUAUGGCUGUUCGCCAUUUAAAGUGGUACGCGAGCUGGGUUUAGAACGUCGUGAGACAGUUCGGUCCCUAUCUGCCGUGGGCGCUGGAGAACUGAGGGGGGCUGCUCCUAGUACGAGAGGACCGGAGUGGACGCAUCACUGGUGUUCGGGUUGUCAUGCCAAUGGCACUGCCCGGUAGCUAAAUGCGGAAGAGAUAAGUGCUGAAAGCAUCUAAGCACGAAACUUGCCCCGAGAUGAGUUCUCCCUGACUCCUUGAGAGUCCUGAAGGAACGUUGAAGACGACGACGUUGAUAGGCCGGGUGUGUAAGCGCAGCGAUGCGUUGAGCUAACCGGUACUAAUGAACCGUGAGGCUUAACCUU
rnacentral:rRNA from 1 species